rnacentral:rRNA from 1 species
UGGGGAAUCUUAGACAAUGGGGGCAACCCUGAUCUAGCCAUGCCGCGUGAGUGAUGUAGGCCUUAGGGUUGUAAAGCUCUUUCAGCUGGGAAGAUAAUGACGGUACCAGCAGAAGAAGCCCCGGCUAACUCCGUGCCAGCAGCCGCGGUAAUACGGAGGGGGCUAGCGUUGUUCGGAAUUACUGGGCGUAAAGCGCACGUAGGCGGACUGGAAAGUUGGGGGUGAAAUCCCGGGGCUCAACCUCGGAACUGCCUUCAAAACUAUCAGUCUGGAGUUCGAGAGAGGUGAGUGGAAUUCCGAGUGUAGAGGUGAAAUUCGUAGAUAUUCGGAGGAACACCAGUGGCGAAGGCGGCUCACUGGCUCGAUACUGACGCUGAGGUGCGAAAGCGUGGGGAGCAAACA